rnacentral:lncRNA from 1 species
AUGCAAUUAAGGUAUUAAAAUACACUACAAUAACAAAGUGGAUGGAGAAUGAUGCUGAAGCAGUUGCCAGGGAUGAAAAAUAUUAUUCUUCUGGAAGGCAGAGAUGCAUCUAUUGACUGCAUGUUAACACAGGAGCUUGUGAAGCCCUACAGCCAGUGACACUAAAAAUGACCUUCUACCACCCCAAGUAUUGAUUAAUAAACAGAUCCAGAGGGACA